UACGGGGGGGGCAAGCGUUGUUCGGAAUUACUGGGCGUAAAGGGCUCGUAGGCGGCCAACUAAGUCGGAGGUGAAAUCCCCAGGCUUAACCUGGGAACUGCAUCCGAUACUGGAUGGCUUGAAUUCGGGAGAGGGAUGCAGAAUUCCAGGUGUAGCGGUGAAAUGCGUAGAUAUCUGGAGGAAUACCGGUGGCGAAGGCGGCAUCCUGGACCGACAUUGACGCUGAUGAGCGAAAGCUAGGGGAGCAAACGGG
rnacentral:rRNA from 1 species